rnacentral:lncRNA from 1 species
UUUUGAGUUGAACCCUCUAAACAGGAAAGGAGGGAGUAUCAACUUCCAUCCUUCGAGGAUUAUGGCCUAUUUAAAGCAAGUACAAUAGAGCUGAGUCAGCUGGCUAUAAGAAAUAAAGCAAUAUGCUUUUUUUUAGUUAGAGGAAAGAGAAGAGGAGAGAGAAGGUAAGCGGGCUCUUAGCUAAGAGCCAGCUCUAACACGUGCUCCUAGGCUUUUUGUAAGUAUGAAAGGUGGACCAUAUAAUAAAAAAGUAGUACACUUUUGCAAUGAAUUAUUGUACAUGUUGGCUAUAAGAUGGACUAUAGAUGACAUGACAAUGACUUAUAGCCAACAGCUGGUUAUACUAUUGUAUGUGAACUCUUCAUAUUCAUUGUACUAUUAUUCUUGCAUGAGUCUUUAUGCUACUCAUCAUUUUCAACACAGAAGGCUAUAGCUCAAGACUCACACCUAUAGGCUAUAGCAGGCUGUGUGCAUUCAUAUCAUGGAGAAGGAAUAAAGACUCCACCAAACUAUGACACUUUUGUGAGUUAUGUUCUCUCCCCAUCUCGCCCUUUAUAUAUACCACUCCCAAACUCACCAAACCAUGUUGUUCCUCCAUGCACAGGUUCUAACCAGUGAUUCUCUUUCUGGGCAUAUAUUAGAGUCAAUAAGAUAGAUGGCCCCCUUCUUCAUAUAUAUGUAUUGACCCCUUCUUCAAAUUAGAUAUAUCGGAUGUGGAAUGAACUCCUACAAGCAGAUCGUAUGCGAGGAAUUCAAGAGGAAUUUGCGGCAUUCUUCUUGACCACGUGAUCGCUAAAGACGGAGAAUACCAUGUGAACCCUAACGAGUUAAAUUUUAAUUAGGAGANN